rnacentral:rRNA from 1 species
GAUGAACGCUCGCGAUAGGCUUAACACAUGCAAGUCGAGGGGCAGCAUGGUCUUAGCUUGCUAAGACUGAUGGCGACCGGCGCACGGGUGCGUAACGCGUAUGCAACUUGCCUCACAGAGGGGGAUAACCCGUCGAAAGACGGACUAAUACCGCGUACACUCCAUCUUGGGCAUCCAAGGUAGAGGAAAUGAAAUUCGCUGUGAGAUAGGCAUGCGUCCCAUUAGCUAGUUGGUGAGGUAACGGCUCACCAAGGCGACGAUGGGUAGGGGAACUGAGAGGUUGAACCCCCACACUGGUACUGAGACACGGACCAGACUACUACGGGAGGCAGCAGUGAGGAAUAUUGGUCAAUGGGCGAGAGCCUGAACCAGCCAAGUCGCGUGAAGGAUGACUGUCUUAUGGAUUGUAAACUUCUUUUAUACGGGAAUAACAAGAGUCACGGGUGACUCCCUGCAUGUACCGUAUGAAUAAGCAUCGGCUAACUCCGUG